rnacentral:rRNA from 1 species
ACGAACGCUGGCGGCGUGCUUAACCCCUGCAAGUCGAACGCUGAAGCUUGGUGCUUGCACUGGGUGGAUGAGUGGCGAACGGGUGAGUAAUACGUGAGUAACCUGCCCUUGACUCUGGGAUAAGCCUGGGAAACUGGGUCUAAUACUGGAUACGACAUGCCACUGCAUGGUGGUGUGUGGAAAGGGUUUUACUGGUUUUGGAUGGGCUCACGGCCUAUCAGCUUGUUGGUGGGGUAAUGGCCUACCAAGGCGACGACGGGUAGCCGGCCUGAGAGGGUGACCGGCCACACUGGGACUGAGACACGGCCCAGACUCCUACGGGAGGCAGCAGUGGGGAAUAUUGCACAAUGGGCGGAAGCCUGAUGCAGCGACGCCGCGUGAGGGAUGACGGCCUUCGGGUUGUAAACCUCUUUCAGCACGGAAGAAGCGAGAGUGACGGUACGUGCAGAAGAAGCGCCGGCUAACUACGUG